rnacentral:rRNA from 1 species
CAGUCGCCACGUGAAUACGUAGGGUGCAAGCGUUAAUCGGAAUUACUGGGCGUAAAGCGUGCGCAGGCGGUUAUAUAAGACAGAUGUGAAAUCCCCGGGCUCAACCUGGGAACUGCAUUUGUGACUGUAUAGCUAGAGUACGGCAGAGGGGGAUGGAAUUCCGCGUGUAGCAGUGAAAUGCGUAGAUAUGCGGAGGAACACCGAUGGCGAAGGCAAUCCCCUUGGCCUGUACUGACGCUCAUGCACGAAAGCGUGGGGAGCAAACAGGAUUAGAUACCCCGGUAGUCCCUGUCUCUUAUAC